AUGACGUGCAAGCGAUGGAGCCGCCUCGUAGCCGACGCCUCCUUCCUUCGCCGUCGCUGGCCAGAUGAUCAUGGGGCCAGUCGCUUCCUCGCCGGCUUCUUCGCCCCAAAACGGCUCGACCGUACGGAUCCCACCUUCCGGACAGGGGACCCCAUGUUUGCAACGUUUUUCAUCCCAACACAGCGGUCAGUGUUCGCCCGCCGCUCCCUCAGCUCCUUUUUCCCCGAUGUUGAUCCAUGCCUUCUCGAUGGCGCGGAACCGCUAACCGCGCGCUCCGGCCUCCUCCUCGUGCGCCUCUUCUCGGACCCACCUGCUGGCUACCAGUACGACAAGUCCGCCAUUCAUCUGGCUGUAUGCAAUCUGCUCGCCGGCGUGUGCGACGUGCUUCCCCCACUAUGCGAACAUUUGGAUUUCAACAAAAGCGGCUACGCCAUCCUAACUAAUGCAGAUGGUUCCUCGAGCGUAGAGCAACUGUCUUGGCAACCGGGCUACUCGACCUUCUUUAAAGUGCUAAUCAUCGGCACGAUGUAUUUCGGCCCGCCCAGGCUCUACACAUUCUCAUCCAGCAAGUCAAUGUGGAGUAAGCCUAUAAAAUUAACUUUUGACACUGCUAGGGGGAUCCGUGAGUAUAAGCAUCCCGACGCCAUUGUGUCUCGCGGUAAGGUGCAUUGUAGCAUCCGGAUAUGGUACCCCGACUACUCUCUUGACAUGGACAUGGAGACGCUUCACAUCUCUCACACAAUGAUCAUGGAUAGGACAACUUACACGGAAACCAACGAGGACCCACAGCUUGGGGUCACCACCGAUGGGACGCCCUUCGUGUUACUUCUGUCAAGACCAGGCCUCGAGCUAAAGAUCUGCACGUGGCAAGAUGAAAAAAAGAGUGAGGAUGGUGCUAUUGUCAAAGCCGCGUGGCUCACCACGCGCAUUUUAGAGUUGAAACCACCUAGGCUGAUUAAAAGAAGGCCAGAGAAAAUAUACCUAAGAUUGUUAGGAGAGAAGAGUGGAACGAUGCUACUCAAAGAUAGCCAGCGGCAGAUUUACAUCGCUGAUCUUGAGACAGGAGUGAUGGAGCAGUUUGAGUUGCCUGAUGGUUUCUAUGGGCUUAACCGUCAGAAGGUCGUGUUGUUGGAGAUGGACUGGCUAGCAUUAUUCGUUUCCCGGCUUGGGAAGUGGUAG
rnacentral:rRNA from 1 species